CCAACACAGUAGCGUUCCCUCUGUGGGUUGUCCGCCUCUUCCCAAGGUGGGGUGGACAAGUUCAUGUUGGCCAGGCUGAGGUAGACAAGGCCUUGAGAAUGCUGGCUGUGUUUGGAUGAAGCUUUUUGGAAUGUCAUCAUUUCAGGCAUGUUCCCGCCCUCCGUGUUCUCCUUCGCGAAGUGAUUAAAACACGAUCUGGCAGUAAAAUGCACUUCCAGUCGCUUGCCUUCAGGAGAGCAUUGGAAGGUCUUCAUAAAGACCAACAGGCCUUUCCUCUGCUCUCCUUCUGGACUCCAUCGCUUCAGGACAAAGCUGGGACCACUUCUCAGGACUGACUUUUGGACUCUCUGACUCUGCCUCCUGUCCAGUGUUUCCUAAAUUCUCCCGUUACAGUAAAUGGAAUUGAGAGAAGUCAUCAUUCCAAAGACAGAAACAAGAGAUUUAAUAUUGACUGUUGCUGUGCCCUAUUGCUAACCUGACAGCUGGGGAUUGCCCCAAAUUGAU
ensembl:lncRNA